UACGUAGGGUGCAAGCGUUGUCCGGAAUUAUUGGGCGUAAAGAGCUCGUAGGCGGUUUGUCGCGUCUGCUGUGAAAACCCGAGGCUCAACCUCGGGCCUGCAGUGGGGUACGGGCAGACUAGAGUGCGGUAGGGGAGAUUGGAAUUCCUGGUGUAGCGGUGGAAUGCGCAGAUAUCAGGAGGAACACCAAUGGCGAAGGCAGAUCUCUGGGCCGUAACUGACGCUGAGGAGCGAAAGCAUGGGGAGCGAACAGG
rnacentral:rRNA from 1 species